rnacentral:lncRNA from 12 species
CCCCCCCCCCCCCCCCCCCCCCCCCCCCCCCCCCCCUGUUUUUUGGGAGGUCCAGGUGUCCUUGAGGAGGGGAUCCAGGUGUGACGUCACCGAUCCUCUCAGGUGUGACAUCAUCGAUCCCAGGUGUGACGUCACCGAUCUCAGGUGUGACGUCACCGAUCCUCUCAGGUGUGACGCCACCGAUCCCACGUGUGACGUCACAAAUCCAGGUGUGAUGUCGCCCAUCCCAGGUAUGAUGUCACCUGUCCCAGGUGUGACGUCACCAAUCCCAGGUGGCUCCGUGCCCUCCAGAUGCCUUCACAUGUCCAGGUGUUGCAUCACCUGUGCCCAGGUGUGACGUCACCUGUCCUGGUGUGACAUUAGGUGUGUCCCUCUCUGUACAGGUGUGUCCCAGGUGUGUCCCUCUCUGUACAGGUGUGUCCCAGGUGUGUCCCUCUCUGUACAGGUGUGUCCCAGGUGUGUCCCUCUCUGUACAGGUGUGUCCCAGGUGUGUCCCUCUCUGUACAGGUGUGUCCCAGGUGUGUCCCUCUCUGUACAGGUGUGUCCCAGGUGUGUCCCUCUCUGUACAGGCGUGUCCCAGGUGUGUCCCAGGUGUGUCCCAGGUGUGUCCCUCUCUGUACAGGUGUGUCCCAGGUGUGUCCCCGCUGUGUCACUGCACACCUGUCCCCGCACAGGCCCCCCCCCCCCCCCCCCCCCCCCCCCCCCCCCCCCCCCCCCCCCCCCCCCCCCCCCCCCCCCCCCCCCCCCCCCCCCCCCCCCCC